AUGGCCGGCGACGAGCUUGUGGCGGCGGAGCCCGCGGAGUGUAGCAGGUGGGUGCUGAUGUGUCUACUGGCCGUCGUCGGUUCGACUCUUUUCGUCGUCGGCACCGGCAUGUUUGCCUACGUCGAGCAUGUUGAGCAGCUUCCCGACCUCAGCUGGUUUCCGUCGCCUCACGUCGCGUUCUUCAUCUCCGGUUUGUUCACCGUCCUAGGAGGAGUCAUUUUUUCCGUUUUCGUUGUUCUUUUUCAAGAGUGGCAACGCGGCAAUCCAGAAGGAGAUAGGCUCGUAGAUUCACUGUUGCUCUUCUAG
rnacentral:rRNA from 1 species